rnacentral:rRNA from 1 species
GACGAACGCUGGCGGCGUGCUUAACACAUGCAAGUCGAACGGUAAGGCCCUUCGGGGCACACGAGUGGCGAACGGGUGAGUAACACGUGGGUGAUCAGCCCUGCACUUCGGGAUAAGACUGGGAAACUGGGUCUAAUACCGGAUAGGACUCCGGACUGCAUGGUCUGGGGUGGAAAGCUUUUGCGGUGUGGGAUGGGCCCGCGGCCUAUCAGCUUGUUGGUGGGGUGAUGGCCUACCAAGGCGACGACGGGUAGCCGGCCUGAGAGGGUGACCGGCCACACUGGGACUGAGAUACGGCCCAGACUCCUACGGGAGGCAGCAGUGGGGAAUAUUGCACAAUGGGCGCAAGCCUGAUGCAGCGACGCCGCGUGAGGGAUGACGGCCUUCGGGUUGUAAACCUCUUUCAGCAUCGACGAAGCGAAAGUGACGGUAGGUGCAGAAGAAGGACCGGCCAACUACGUGCCAGCCGCCGCGGUAA